CUACCAUCAUGUUUGUGUCCACAUGUGUUAUUGAAAUUGCAGAUUUUUUUUGGAGACGGGGCCAUUCGUGUCGCUUUGACACAUCUAGUUUUAUAUAUAUAUAUAUAUAUCGUUAAGGUAAAUUUAGAGUGAUGGAGAGGUUAAAGAUACCAAAGCGAUAUUCAAAGAGACUGACAAUGCCAUGACAAAUAACUAAAACGGACGAGAAGACAAACAAUAGUACAGAAAACUAA
rnacentral:lncRNA from 1 species